rnacentral:rRNA from 1 species
UACGGAGGAUGCGAGCGUUAUCCGGAUUUAUUGGGUUUAAAGGGUGCGUAGGCGGGCUUUUAAGUCAGCGGUAAAAAUUCGGGGCUCAACCCCGUCCGGCCGUUGAAACUGGGGGCCUUGAGUGGGCGAGAAGAAGGCGGAAUGCGUGGUGUAGCGGUGAAAUGCAUAGAUAUCGCGCAGAACCCCGAUUGCGAAGGCAGCCUUCCGGCGCCCUACUGACGCUGGGGCACGAAAGUGCGGGGAUCGAACAGG